ensembl:lincRNA
UAAAACAAACAUAGAAACCUGGGGAGGGUGAGAGGGCUCACCAGGUUGUGGCACUUCCCACUAAACCUGACAUCUCUCCUGCAUUCCCAGGACCCACAGGACAGGAAGAAUCAAUUCCCAGAAGCUGUCUUCUGGCAUUCACACAUGCAUGGUGGUACACAACCCCUACCUAUAAUUAAUAAAUACAAGUAAUUAAAUGUGUACAAAGGGAAAACAAAGGACAGUGGUUUAAGGAGUGUGCCUUGCCUGGCAUUUACCACAUCGAGCAGUGGCCUGCAUUGGAAUGGCAUACUCAGGUCAUCAAGGGAGAAGCAGGCUGCAGGAGAAGGGGACUUGGGAUCAAGAGGGAAAUGAAGAGCUGAGCACCCAGAAUCAGCUCGGAGAGGCAGGCAGGCUCAGGAAGAGCAGUGAGAGCUAAGCCUACUGAGCACCCACUGCUCAGGAGACAACUGAUCUACACGAGGCUGAGCAGCUGGGAGUGCGGCCGAUCCUCACAGAGCCCUAAUCAGUCUGGUGUUCUGGAAAUGAGCGGCCUUUCCCUCCAUUGGUCUGCACUGCUCCCUCCCCAGAUGAUCACGUUACUACAUACCUGUUUUCUUUAUUCCUUCUUCCCAUGGCACUUUGGGCUUCCAUCCUAAACUGUGAAUUUUUUCAGACUUCAUUGGAUAUCUCAUGUCAUUGUGAGGUCUUGGAAGGCAAAGAUUUAAGAUGACACUGAAUACACAUUUGCACAUCUGAGACAGAACGCACACGCACACGUCUUCAUAAUUCACAUUACAACAAAAUCACCCUGGAGGCAUGCUUAUUGUAGAAACAUUUUAUAAACAUAUAAAACCCAUAACUACCAAUGCCUGACAUUCUCUAUAGCCUAUCCUUUCUAGAACUUACUUCACCAUAAUUUAGGUGCAAAUGAAGUACCUAACAUAUAGAAGACAAAUAAUAAAUGUCUGAUGAGUGAAGAAAUAAAUCACACAAAUGUAAGUAACUUAGGAUUCUUGGGUGUCAAGCUUAGGACAAGAAUCUUUGUCUAUAUUGUAACUAUAACUUAGAAUACUUUUCUAAGGAGAUAAUCGCCAGAUUUCACACGGGAGGAAACUCCACACUGGGAAAGAGUCCCUACAACUUGAAGCCCACAGCUAGAAAUAGUGCAGUCCUUAAUCUCUAUGACACUUAGGCUUGGGAAGAAAAUUCACAAGUUAAACUAUUUUUCUGACGAGUUCAUACAUUGUAUAAGCACCUAUGGCUUCACCAUCUUCAUCAUAUGUUCCAACCUGUCAUUCACAUAGUCUACUCACCUGUCACUCACAUAGUCCAUCCACCUGCCACUCACANUCACCUGUCACUCACAUAGUCCAUCCACCUGCCACUCACACAGUCCACCUGUCACUCACAUAGUCCACUCACCUGUCACUCACGUAGUCCACCCAGCUCUCUGUUUCAGACUCUGAAUUGGUCUCUUUGAUCUGUCAAAUGAAGCAGAAUUCUGAGCCAUGUUACAAAAUGAGAACCCGGAGCAACAACUGUAUUUAAUAGCUGACAGAAGCAGAGGAGAAAGACAACUGCCUCACAGCGGGAGGGAGCAGGAGGACAGCAAAGGUUCUUCCAUCCUGAUAGCUCACACUUAGUCCACAGACCUCAUCAAGAACACGGACUGCAUGAGCAUGGGAGAUGGGCGAACGCCUAGGAUGAACGUUCAUGCUGCGGCCUCGCAAUUGUUUAUGCUCCACUCACUGCUCUGUGACUGACUACAGUGUUUCCCAGCUCUGAAGCUCAGUACAUCUUACAGCUAGAAGGCGUUCUUUCCCUGAAGAACUAAUGCCGCCUCACAUGAAGGGACAGCCUUGCCAGCGCCCUCCAUAGUUGACAUACCAGCUGUAUUAGCUCUUUCGCAAGCUGGACGACCGACAUCUCAAAGUUGGUCCCGAUGUUGUAGAUCUCGCCUGGCUCGCCCUUUGUGAGGACAGUGAGGAAGGCUUCCACCACAUCAGCAGCAUAAAGGAAGUUUCUCCUUUGAAGCCCUGAUCCGUGAAUACAGCUAAAUGGAUUAAAGGAGGCAGAAUUAUAAGGUGCAGGACUAAGCCACGGCCAGCUCAGUGCUGAGGAAGCCACUGCCAGAGGUCCUGGAAAUCUCUGAACGAACAAAUCAAUUCCCUUAAAUUUUCAUCCCCAUUUCUUAUAUGUACCCAAACUUCUGAAGGAUUCCUCAUUUAAAAAGUGGAAAACACGGAUCCCUAAAAAAUAUCUGUUAGUUUUACACCAUCAAUUCAUUUUGAAAAAAUACCUAGGCUGGAUGGGGUUGCACAGAACUGUAACUCCAGCCCCCGGGGGGCUGAGGCAAGAGGCUCCAUGUUCAAGGCCAGCCUAAGCAACUUCAAAAGUUACAAAUGAAGUCACAGGGCUGGGAAUGGAGCUGGGGCGGCAGCUUGUUAGCAGAGUGCCUGCCUAGGACGUACAAGGCCUGCCUUUAAGGUCCACAACCUAAGAAUAAUGCGUAAGGGAAGGGAAAAUGUUAGUUUUAUACUAAUCAUCUGGAAAUAUGAAGCCAGACAGAUGUCAAAACUUGAUUUUCAAAUUCAAACUUCUACAGCAGAUAACUUUGGAAUUUACCUCAGUAACCUCUGAGGACAGUUUAGUUAUGAAACACACCACAUGAAGUGGAGCAAGCGUUCCUGAGCUGGCUGAAUGCUGAGCCCAUGGCCUCUGUGGCUCCAGGAUUCCUACUGAGCAGACGGCACAUGAAUGCAAAAGUAAACAACGUACCACUUCCUGUUGUGCUGCAGCAAGGAUAUGAACUUUGGAAUAACCUGGAAGAAUAUUUAGAUGUCAUUUCAGACUUUGUAAAUGACAUUAAUAUGAAUUUAAACAUGUAAUAUUAAAAGUUAUGUUAUAUG